UUCUGAUGGUGGUGAUCCAGGCACUAUUCAGAGGUUUUUGAUGUGUACUACAUUGAAACAUAUACUCAGCUCUCGGGCAACCAUGAAAAAUGCUUGCCUGAUGAUUGUGAUUUGUAGCCUUUUACGUGAUGUUGUGGUGACACUUGUGUUAAGUGUGUGAAUGAGAUAUCAUUGUACCAAGGACACAGAUGGGAUCUCGUUUAUAGAUGCAGAUAGUUGUUAAGAAAUUGAAGCUUUGAAGUUGAUAUUUUGUUUAAUCAAUGCAAAUGCUGCUUUAAUCGAACUGUGUCAUAAUAUGAUUAUUAUUUCUUUGAUACCUAAUGAUAAAAUAUGACAUUUCUGCAGUGGAAUAACAGCAGUGAAAAUAAACACAUUUUCAGUACUACUUUUUCUAUUUUUAGAUUAUCAUAUCAAGAUUUACUUUAUGCAUUAAGCUUUGUUUGCUCAGAGCGAGUCACAUGUUGUUUCCUGUUUUGAGGCACGCCACGGAAGAAAGGGUAUCUUCAGCAAAAGGGAAACAGCUGUUAAUUAUUUUCUUGAAAAAGUGGCAUAAAAAAAACAGAAAAUGAGUUCAUGUAUAUUUUCUAUGAUCACUCAUGAAAUAACAAAUGAUCUUACACUGACAUGAACAAAUAUCCUCUAUAUACUGGUAUCUGAAUUAGAGCGGCGCACUGGGAAAACCUGACUUAUAUUUGUGCGUAAAGCUUGUGUGAUAAGAAUGCUUUGUAAAAAAUGCUUGAGUCAUUAGUAAUAAAUGCUUUCAUUGUUACCCAUUAUUCAAGUUUACAAGAUGGUGAAGUCAUUAAUAUAUUGAUUGAUAAGUCUUACUACAUUUAGUUACUAUUUCUUUACUUAUUACAGUUCUUUCAUAGUAUUUUUUCUUUGAAGUUUAAUUAUUUUUUCGCAGAUUAACAGAAGGAUUUCAAGUAAACUAUUGUGAUUAACGUAUGUCCAGCGUCGUGCUUCAUCAACUUUUAGCAUGUUACAACUCUAGAGUAAACAUUUGUAUCCAGUCUUAAUGAAAUUUGUGAGAAUGUUUAUCUGGACGAUAUGAAGUCAGAGUUCGAUUCUCUGUUAAGUGUGUCUAAACAGGUCACCAGGUCAAUUCUUCUGAAAAAAUGUUGCCACUCUAGAUGCCACAUUUAUUAAUUGAUCUUGAUGAAACUUGGUCAGAAUUUUAAUCUUGACAAUAUAUCAGCCGAGUUCCAAUUUGGGUCAUAUGCAUGAAAACAAAACACUAGGUCACCAGGUCAAAUCUUUGAAAAAACACUUGUUACCUCUCUUGAGGCUACAUCAUAAUGUUUAUCUGGAUAUUUUCCGGAGUAGGUUUGAUUCUAGGUCAUGCUCAUCCAAACACUAGGUCACAAGGUCAAAGCAUGAAAAAACACCUUGUUACCACUCUAGAGGCCGAUUUUAUAAUCAAUAUUGAUAAAACUUGGUCAGAAUGUUUGUCCUGACAAUAUGAAAGUCCUGUUUGAAUCUGGGCCAACUGGGUCAAAAACUGAAUCAUCAGGUUAAGUCUUCAACAAUUGGUGUUUGUGAACUAAGGUGAGCACUGAAGGGAUGUCAUGGCCCUCCUAAUUGGUGUUUGUGAACUAAAUUGAGCACUAAAGGGAUGUCAUGGCCUUCCUAAUUGGUGUUUGUGAACUAAGGUGAGCACUGAAGGGAUGUCAUGACCCUCUUAAUUGGUGUUUGUGAACUAAGGUGAGCACUUAAGGGAUGUCAUGGCCCUCUUGUUUAAAUUUCUGGAUUGAAGAAUUUUUGUUUUGUAUAGUCAAAGAGCAGUGAGCAAGCUUAUCUUCUUUAGAAAAAAAAUCUAAAUGAAUUUUAAUGUUUAUUUAUUGAUACCAUCUGAAAACUUAACAGUAUAUAUGAUACUGAUUUUGUGAAAUCACUGUUUUUGAUAUGAUAUAGAUGGUCACUAUUUCAACUAGCAUGUUUGUUGACAUUGCUUUGUGUCCAUUACUCUUGUGCUUUGUUACAUUUUAUUUGAAAUUUUAUUACAUAAUCUACCACAACAUUAUACUUGUUCGAGACUGUUAUCGAAUAUUUUAACCAAUUUUAAGUUUUAUACCUUUAUUUUGAAGUGUUUAUUUUGGUUUUAUGUUUGUUUUAUCGUACUGAUUCAAGUUAGUUUUCUAAAUGUCCUACCUUUUUGAUUGUAAAGUAAAUAUUUUUGUAAGCAAAUGUUCAAAAGAAAAUUAAAAAGAAACAUGUCCAACAAAAUAUUUCAUAAAACUACCAAAACAUAUUUUUUUACAGAUUGGCAUACAUGCAUUUUAUUCAGCAAUUGUAUAAAUGAUAUAUUGGCUUUUUGUUAUCAUAUUUGUAAAAUCUGUAUUUAUCAAGUGCUUUCCCACAUAAAAGACCCAUUGAAAUAUUGUACAAAAUAAUUCUUGCUUACGGUAUUGGGUUUUUGAGAGUUUUGUUCAUUCAUGUCAUAUUGUACAAGAUUCAUUUUAGAUGCAUUUGAAUUCUCAAUUUGUAUAGUGUUUUUACAAAUUCUGUUAACAUGUAUACACAUACAUACAUGUGUAUGUAUUGUUUUAUUGAUAAAUAAAAUUACUCAAUGUU